ACAUGCCUACAACAUAGCAUUAAUGCACAGGAUCCCAUUAAAACUCCAUAGUUAAGUGUACUUGGGCUAGAGUAGUACUAGGAUGGAUGACUACCUAGGAAUUCCUAGUGUUUUACAUGCC
rfam:Picea glauca, whole genome shotgun sequence.